AUGAACGCUAGCGGCAGGCUUAACACAUGCAAGUCGAGGGGCAGCGGAGCGGAGUGCUUGCACUCUGCUGCCGGCGACCGGCGCACGGGUGAGUAACACGUAUGCAACCUGCCCCGGAGCGGGGGAUAACCCGGCGAAAGCCGGACUAAUACCGCGUAUAUAUCCAGGAGGCAUCUUCUGGAUAGGAAAGGACUUCGGUCCGCUCCGGGAUGGGCAUGCGGCGCAUUAGGCAGACGGCGGGGUAACGGCCCACCGUACCGACGAUGCGUAGGGGUUCUGAGAGGAAGGCCCCCCACACUGGUACUGAGACACGGACCAGACUCCUACGGGAGGCAGCAGUGAGGAAUAUUGGUCAAUGGGCGAGAGCCUGAACCAGCCAAGCCGCGUGAGGGAAGAAGGCGCUCAGCGUCGUAAACCUCUUUAGCCGGGGGACAAAACCUCCUCGCGAAGGAGGCUUGAGAGUACCCGGAGAAUAAGCAUCGGCUAACUCCGUGCCAGCAGCCGCGGUAAUACGGAGGAUGCGAGCGUUAUCCGGAUUUAUUGGGUUUAAAGGGUGCGCAGGCGGACAUUCAAGUCUGCGGUCAAAUUCCGGGGCUCAACCCCGGCCAGCCGUGGAAACUGAAUGACUUGAGUGGGCGAGAGGUAUGCGGAAUGCGCGGUGUAGCGGUGAAAUGCUUAGAGAUCGCGCAGAACUCCGAUUGCGAAGGCAGCAUACCGGCGCCUUACUGACGCUCAGGCACGAAAGCGUGGGGAUCGAACAGGAUUAGAUACCCUGGUAGUCCACGCAGUAAACGAUGAAUGCUGGUUGUUCGGGCCGACUGAGGCCUGAGUAACGUAGUGAAAACGUUAAGCAUUCCACCUGGGGAGUACGCCGGCAACGGUGAAACUCAAAGGAAUUGACGGGGGCCCGCACAAGCGGUGGAGCAUGUGGUUUAAUUCGAAGCAACGCGAAGAACCUUACCAGGAUUUGACAUCCAGCUAACGAAGUAGAGAUACAUCAGGUACCCUUCGGGGGAAGUUGAGACAGGUGGUGCAUGGUUGUCGUCAGCUCGUGCCGUGAGGUGUCGGCUUAAGUGCCAUAACGAGCGCAACCCCUGCGGACAGUUGCCAUCAGGUAGAGCUGGGCACUCUGUCCGGACUGCCGGCGCAAGCCGUGAGGAAGGCGGGGAUGACGUCAAAUCAGCACGGCCCUUACGUCCGGGGCGACACACGUGUUACAAUGGGCGGCACAGCGGGAAGCCAGGUGGUGACACCGAGCAGAACCCGAAAGCCGUUCUCAGUUCGGAUCGGAGUCUGCAACCCGACUCCGUGAAGCUGGAUUCGCUAGUAAUCGCGCAUCAGCCAUGGCGCGGUGAAUACGUUCCCGGGCCUUGUACACACCGCCCGUCACACCAUGGGAGUUGGGAGUGCCCAAAGCCGGUGAGGCAACCGCAAGGAGCCAGCCGUCUAAGGCAAGACCAAUGACUGGGGUG
rnacentral:rRNA from 1 species